UCAACGCGGGAAAUCUUACCGGGUCCGGACACACUGAGGAUUGACAGAUAUAUACCCCGUGAUUUUAUCGCGGGGUUGAAAGAUGCUAGUUCUUUCAUGAUUAUGUGAUAGGUGGUGCAUGGCCGUUCUUAGUUCGUGGAGUGAUCUGUCUGCUUAAUUGCGUAUCAAUAAUAGAGACCUAGUAUACGCGUAGACUCAUGCGGUAGUGACCCCCCUUCACAGGGCGCGUGUCGCACGUAUGUUAUACGCACAGGUCUCCGAUAGCAACGAACGUGACCGUACUCUAUUGUUGCAGCGACAAUACCUUUCAACGGGUAUUACCGCUGCUUAGCAAGAUUCGUCUUGCAUUAAACUAUAGAGACCGCUGUUUCUUCUUUAAACCAGAGGAAGGAUACGGCAAUAACAGGUCUGUGAU
rnacentral:rRNA from 1 species